GUUGUACUCCUUCCGUCGAACAAAAGAUAUCUCAAGUUUGUCAAAAUUUGUAUGUAUUUAGACAUGACUUAGUGUAUAAAUGCAUUCAAAUUUAGUCAAAAUUGAGACAUCCUUUGUUGGACGGAGGAGUAGUUU
rfam:Brachypodium distachyon strain Bd21 chromosome 2, whole genome shotgun sequence.